GUAAAAGAUGUUAUCUGUCGCAACAAAACAACAUAAGCAAGAUAGUUUCUUGAAGCAAUCUAAAUUGUUUAUUAUAGUGUUUUAAAAAGUAAACAGGUCUCAGAAA